UGAAGAACAUAUAAAAUACUCAUAUUUUUCCUCUAUGUAACCUAAACAUAAAUACUAUCAUGUAUAAUUAAUAAAAAUUAUAAAAAAACGCUCACAUCAUAGCCCAAAAAAGUAAAAUAAGAAACCAAUCCUCAUUCCUCAGUAAGAAUGAAUAGAAUGAAUCUGAACAUGAAAGAUAAACAAUCUAGUUCUUGAUGAGGGCUAAAAGAGACAAAACCAAUGAAGAACACACGAUCGCCCCUGAAACCGACAAGAAGUUUCCGGCACCCUGGUCAGGAGCCGGCGCCGGUGCCGGUGUUGACAUUUCUUGGGCCAUUACAGCUGACAAAAAUGCCAUGACUGCUACAAGAAUCAAAACAGCCUUUAAAUUUGCCAUUGAAAUGUGUUUUUUAACUCUACAGUGUCUGAUGAAGAAGGAGAAGAAAGCUAAGAACUAGAAAUGUAA
rnacentral:lncRNA from 1 species